rnacentral:rRNA from 1 species
GACGAACGCUGGCGGCGUGCUUAACACAUGCAAGUCGAGCGGUAAGGCCCUUUCGGGGGUACACGAGCGGCGAACGGGUGAGUAACACGUGGGUGACCUGCCCUCAGCUCUGGGAUAAGCCUGGGAAACCGGGUCUAAUACUGGAUAUGACUCCAUGACGCAUGUUGUGGGGUGGAAAGCCUUGUGCGGCUGAGGAUGGGCCCGCGGCCUAUCAGCUUGUUGGUGGGGUGAUGGCCCACCAAGGCGACGACGGGUAGCCGGCCUGAGAGGGCGACCGGCCACACUGGGACUGAGACACGGCCCAGACUCCUACGGGAGGCAGCAGUGGGGAAUCUUGCGCAAUGGGCGAAAGCCUGACGCAGCGACGCCGCGUGAGGGAUGACGGCCUCGGUUGUAA